rnacentral:ncRNA from 1 species
GUAACAUAUAUAUAACAAUAUUUUAAUUUUAUAGUGAAGUGGGGAAAUGUUCCAUGUGAACAUCACUUGGAUAUGGUCUGUUACUCGAUCCUAAGAGGUGGGGAAUCCUUGUAUCAAGGGUGCACUCUGCAUGAACAUCGAAAUAUAAUUGGGUUAAUAUUCCCAAACCGGGACAUGGUGGUGGACGACAAUGUUAGGAAAUCUGGAGAUGUCAUUGGGGGCCUGGGAAGAGUUAUCUUUUCUAUUAAUGACUUUCCCACCCUGAAAUCGGUUCAACU